UACAGAGGGUGCAAGCGUUGUUCGGAAUUAUUGGGCGUAAAGCGCGUGUAGGCGGCUUUGCAAGUCGGGUGUGAAAGCCCUCAGCUCAACUGAGGAAGUGCGCCCGAAACUGCAGAGCUUGAGUGCCGGAGAGGGUGGCGGAAUUCCCCAAGUAGAGGUGAAAUUCGUAGAUAUGGGGAGGAACACCGGUGGCGAAGGCGGCCACCUGGACGGUAACUGACGCUGAUGCGCGAAAGCGUGGGGAGCAAACGGG
rnacentral:rRNA from 1 species